GCCCGUCCCAGCUGGUGUCAAGAAGUCAAAACAAAGCUCCUUCUCCGUGUGCUUUUCUUCCUCAAUGGCUGAGACUGUAAAGUCGUCAGGAAGCAUGGUCUAGUGCUCCAAGCUCCAGACAGCCGCCUGACCUCUGUCCUGGCGCCCUGGUCUGGCCUGGGCCAGACACCGCACCCCCGGACUGUUUUCCCACCUGCAAAACAACCCUGGCCUCUCUAAGCAGCAUGGCCUCUCACUGCAAAAACACUGCUCCUCCCUCGUCUGGCAGCUGCCAAUUUAGGAGCUAGCCUACCUUCAGGAGAGGAAAUCUUUGGGAGCAGGGAGAAGAAGGACCCAGAAGAAAGUGGAGGAGCCCUGGUGGCACUGUGCUUAAAGUGCUCGGCUGCUAACCAAAAGGUUGGAAGUUUCAAAUGCACCAGCAACUCCAUAGAAGAAAGAUGUGUCGGUCUGCUUCCAAGCUCAGAGUCCAAGGUGAGAGAAGUCAAGAAGGAACACAAAAACCGCAGCACGGCAAGCACAGAGUCCAGAGAAGGAAGGGAGUAAUGGGAACUGGGAAGACUGCCUCAUGGCGAAGGCAGCCUGAAGCAGGCUCCAGGAGAAUGGGCAGGUUGGGACUUGCUGAGGGGAGGGAAGGUCCUUGCAGUGGGAGGCUACUGCAUGAACAGAGGUACAGCAGGGAGUCGGUGCAGGGCCCAAGGGAGCUGGUGAAGGCCCAAGGGGGCUAGUGAGGGCUCAAGGGAGCUAGUGUGGGCCCAAAGGGGUUGGUGAGGGCCCAAGGGAGCUGGUGCAGGGCUCAAAGGGGCUGGUACAGGGCCCAAGGGAGCUGGUGCAGGGCCCAAGGCAGCUGGUGUAGCACUCAAGGCAGCUGGUGUAGCGCCCAAGGGAGCUGGUAAGGGCCCAAGGGGGCUAGUGAGGGCUCAAGGGAGCUAGUGUGGGCUCAAGGGAGCUGGUGAGGGCCCAAAGGGGCUGGUGAGGGCACAAGGGAGCUGGUGCAGGGCUCAAAGGGGCUGGUACAGGGCCCAACGGAGCUGGCGCAGGGCCCAAGGCAGCUGGUGUAGCACUCAAGGCAGCUGGUGUAGCGCCCAAGGGAGCUGGUGUAGCGCCCAAGGGAGCUGGUAAGGGCCCAAGGGGGCUAGUGAGGGCUCAAGGGAGCUAGUGUGGGCCCAAGGGAGCUGGUGAGAGCCCAAAGGGGCUGGUGUAGGGCCCAGGAGAGCUGGUGAGGGCCCAAGGGAGCUGAUGAGGGCCCAAGGCAGCUGGUGUAGCGCCCAAGGGAGCUGGUAAGGGCCCAUGGGGCUGGUGUAGGGCCCAAGGGAGCUAGUGAGGGCCAAAGGGAGCUGGCACAGGGCCCAAGGGAGCUGGUGCAGGGCUCAAAGGAGCUAGUUAGUGUAGGGCCCAAGGGAGCUGGUAUAGGGCCCAAGUGAGCUAGUGUAGGGCUCAAAGGAGCUGGUAUAGGGCUCAAGGGAGCUAGUGAGGGCCCCAGAGAGCUGAUGUAGGGCCCAAGGGUGCUAGUGAGGGCUCAAGGGAGCUAGUGAGGGCCCAAGGGAGCUGGUGAGGGCCCAAGGGGGCUGGUGCAGGGCCCAAGGGAGCUGGUGUAGGACCCAAGGGAGCUGGUGUAGGACCCAAGGGGCUGGUACAAGACCCAAGGGAGCUGGUGCAGGGCUCAAGUGAGCUGGUGCAGGGCCCAAAGAAGCUAGUUAGUAUAGGGCCCAAGGGAGCUGGUGCAGGGCUCAGGGGAACUAGUGAGGGCCCAGAAGAGCUGGUGUAGGGUCCAAAGGGGCUAGUGAGGGCUCAAGGGACCUAGUAAGGGCCCAAGGGAGCUGGUAUAGGGCGCAAGGGGGUUGGUGAGGGCCCAAGGGAGCUAGUGAGGUUUCAAGGGAGCUAGUAAGGGCGCUAGUGAGGACUGGAGGGACCUGGUAAGGGCCCAAGAGAGCUGGUAAGGGUCCAAGGGGCUUGGUGCAGGGCCCAAGAGAGCCGGUGUAGGGACAAGGGGGCUAGUGAGAGCUCAUGGGAGCUAGUGAGGGCCCAAGAGACUGGUGCAGGGCCCAAUGGUGCUAGCGUAGGGCCCAAGCAUCUAUCUACUCUACAAAGGCCCAUUUUAAGGAGAGCAGGUAGCUAAGUUCUUUAUCCCAGGUACUGGCUGGAAGAUGCUUUCAGAGUCCUGCAGUCCCAUCAGUGGGGCCGAGAGGGCCCAGGUGUGGAAAACCGUGGUUCCAAGACGGCAGCAAGCUGAGGUCGCCGCACACCUGCAGAUAAACCAGCCUUGGAGGCCCCAGGGAUUCAGGCAACCGAUGGUGGGAGGGGCCUCCUCUCUAGCCCUGGGGGAGACCUCCUUAGCAGCAGGAGGCCCAGGAGGCUCCCAGCCAGCUCCCCCUCCAGCACCCUGAGGCCCUGGUCCCUGGACAACAAAUUCCUCACAAUCUUCAGACCUGUCGCUGAGCCUGGGGGCAGGUCCCCAGCUGCCACAUGUUACAGAGACUUGCUGGCUCACAGUUCUGAUCAGGUGCCAAGAGGACUAUUUCCCAGGCCGCAGCUUUAACAAACCCAUGCUUUCUAAUGAUUAGUUUUUGCCUCAUUAAAUAAAAAGGGGGAAGAGAAACCAGUGAUGACUCCAGCUUAUAACACCCCCUUCCAUUUAUGUGCGUCUCUCUUCAGAGAAGCCCCAGGUGCUCUGGAUAUUAUUGUAUAUUUUCCCCUCGUAAUAUCCCUGAGAUCCCCAGGGGUGGUUAUUACCAUACCAUUUUACGGAUGGGAAAAGGGAUGCUGGCUGAGGUUCAGCCAAGUGCGCAAGCUCUCUCGGCUAAAGCAACACACAAAGAACGAUCAUUUACUGCCAACUUUACAAUAGUGAUUAACACAGUUUAUUUUUUACAACAAUCCUAUAAAACAGAUAGUAUAACACUCAUCUUACCUAUGAAGACAAUAAGAUCCAGGUAAAGGAGCCUGCCUAGAGUUGUAUAAUAAUAGUUGUUGUAGUCAUCAAGGAACCCUGGUGGUGCAGUGGUGAAGAACUCGGCUGCUAGCCAAAAGGUCGGCAGUUCGAAUCCACCAGCUGCUCCUUGGCAACUCUAUGGGGCAGUUCCACCCUGUCCUAUAGGGUCGCUAUAAGCCGGAAUCCACUCAACAGCAACAGUGUUGGUUUGGCUUUGGUUCAGUAGUAGUAAACGCAGAAGCUAAAAUGUAUUAAGCACUUACCAUAUUCCAGGCAUUUUACAUUUACUAAUUCAUUGGAACUUUCUCUACCACCCUGCAGAGUAUUCAUUAGUAAAAUCACCACUUGGCUGAUGCCAAAAUUGAAGUACAGAAAAGAUAGAUAACCUGCCCAAGGUGACACAGUGAGGAAGCAGCAGAGCAGGUACGGGAAGCCACAAAGGCUCUGCGUGUCCCAUCCCACCAGGCUGCCUCUCAGUUUACCCAUCUGAAGGAAGACUGUCCUCUGAGGGUUGGACUGUAAAAAUGUCACUGAGAAGGCCUGGGAACAAGGUGAUCAGGUAGUGCCCCAGGACGCUCUGUGCCUAAUCACUGCUAUGAAGGCAGCAAGGUGGGGGGACACACCUGCUGUACUCUUGCUGUGUGCCAGGCCCCUCGCUGUGUGGGCAGGUUCUGGGAGGGACCGUGGGGGAAAGGAUCUUCCUGCCUGUGUGAAAGCAGGUAAAAAAAAACAGCUGGUUGUUAGUCCCCAGGUGAUACACAUGGCUAAUGCCCUUGGCUGCUAACUGAACGGUUGGAGGUUGGAGGUUUGAGUCCACCUAGAAGUACCUCAGAAGAAAGACCUGGCAAUCUACUACCAAAAAAGCCACCACUGAGAACCCUCUGGAGCACAAUUCUACUCUGCCGUGCAUGGGGUUACCAUGAGUCAGA